GACUCCUUUCACUUAACCACUUUACUGCUUUUGGAUUCAACACUUCUUGGCUUGCAACCCUUUAAAAACCCAUCUUUACAGCCUGCAUAACAUAUAUAUAACCUUUUGAACCUACACCUAUCACGUACUCUAUUAUUUUCAUCUAAGUUAAUGAUGACACUGCUGCCUAGAUUACAUCGUCUCAACUCCUCACAAUAAUCCCUCAGUUGUUCAAA